AGCGAACGCUGGCGGCAGGCUUAACACAUGCAAGUCGAGCGGGCCCUUCGGGGUCAGCGGCAGACGGGUGAGUAACGCGUGGGAACGUGCCCUUCGGUUCGGAAUAACUUAGGGAAACUUGAGCUAAUACCGGAUACGCCCUUAUGGGGAAUGGUUUACUGCCGAAGGAUCGGCCCGCGUCUGAUUAGCUAGUUGGUGAGGUUAUGGCUCACCAAGGCGACGAUCAGUAGCUGGUCUGAGAGGAUGAUCAGCCACACUGGGACUGAGACACGGCCCAGACUCCUCGGGGACGCGCAGGGGGGAAAUAGGGAAAAGGGGGGCCACCCUUGCCCCACCCUUGCGGGGGGGGUAGUGCCGCCCUAGGGGUUGAAUAGCUUUUUUCCCGGGGCGGAUAAGGAGGGUACGGGAGAAAUAGCCCCGGGCAAACUCCGUC
rnacentral:rRNA from 1 species